rnacentral:rRNA from 1 species
UACGUAGGGGGCAAGCGUUGUCCGGAAUUAUUGGGCGUAAAGAGCUCGUAGGCGGUUUGUCGCGUCUGCUGUGAAAACUCGGGGCUUAACUCCGGGCCUGCAGUGGGUACGGGCAGACUAGAGUGCGGUAGGGGAGACUGGAAUUCCUGGUGUAGCGGUGAAAUGCGCAGAUAUCAGGAGGAACACCGGUGGCGAAGGCGGGUCUCUGGACAGUUCCUGACACUGAGACACGAAGGCCAGGGGAGCAAACGGG